GCCGCCGUAGCUCAGCGUGGUAGAGCAGCUGAUAAUCUAAGCUGAGGCUGUUAAUCCACGCAGAGACCAGUUGGUCGUCGGUUCAAGUCCGACCGGCGGCG
rnacentral:tRNA from 1 species